UGCCAUAUCCUGGGACUGGUAACAAUAUCGACCCUUACACGGUUUUCCAGAAUGUUGGACUGAAGAUGGCAACAAACUUGUUUAUUCCAAUGCCUCCAUGUUUCAAGUUCAGAGGAAGAGAAUAUUACCCAGACCACUUUGUUAUGUUACCCCUGAAGUCCGAAGUUGCUCAUGAUUUUGUUCCUGGAGUGGCAGCUCCCGUACCAAGUAAUGCUCCAGCUCCAUCAGUAGUGACAAUCUGCACCUUCUUCCCUGAGACUUGGUUAUGGGACCUGGUAGA